rnacentral:rRNA from 1 species
UGGGGAAUAUUGGACAAUGGGCGAAAGCCUGAUCCAGCCAUGCCGCGUGUGUGAAGAAGGUCUUCGGAUUGUAAAGCACUUUAAGUUGGGAGGAAGGGCAGUAAGCGAAUACCUUGCUGUUUUGACGUUACCGACAGAAUAAGCACCGGCUAACUCUGUGCCAGCAGCCGCGGUAAUACAGAGGGUGCAAGCGUUAAUCGGAAUUACUGGGCGUAAAGCGCGCGUAUGUGGUUCGUUAAGUUGAAUGUGAAAGCCCCCGGCUCAACAACGGAAGGGCAUCCAAAAAUGGCGUGCUAGUGUAGGGCAGAAGGUGGUGGAAUUUCCUGAGUAGCGGGGAAAUGCGUAGAUAUAGGAAGGAACACCGGUGGAGACGGCGAACACCUGGGAUCAUACUGACACUGAGGUGCGAAAGCGUGGGGAGCAAACAGG